GGGCGCAUUUCAUUUGUGCCAAUUUUUAAAAAAUCAAACCUUUCAUUUGCGCCACAAGGUUAUAUAUCAUUUGCGCCAAAAAAAAAAAACCUUCAUUUGCGCCAUUUUACAGGUAUGACAGGUAAUAUAACGGAAAAGUUAAAUAUUAUUUACGAUUUAUUUUGUUUUUUGUUUGUACAUAACUCCCCCUGGAUAUAUGUGUGAGUUCAUACUCAUUUCUAAUACAAAACUGAGAGUCACUAAGGUUAUAAUUAUAUAUAUAGUGUUCACAUGACCAGUCCAGUGUGAGGUGUCAAGAUGGACGUAGUCAAAUCUGAGACAAACAGAGGAAAGAAUUCUGUGAUAUUUGAUGACCACAUAUAUAGGUUAUCAAAU
rnacentral:lncRNA from 1 species